rnacentral:tRNA from 1 species
UUCCUGAUAGCUUAAAGGUGAAAGCGAAUGGCUGUUAACCAUUCGAUUAUAGGUUCGAAUCCUAUUCAGGAAG